AGACAGCAGUCGCCGCGGGAAUACAGAGGGUGCGAGCGUUAAUCGGAUUUACUGGGCGUAAAGCGUGCGUAGGCGGCUUUUUAAGUCGGAUGUGAAAUCCCUGAGCUUAACUUAGGAAUUGCAUUCGAUACUGGGAAGCUAGAGUAUGGGAGAGGAUGGUAGAAUUCCAGGUGUAGCGGUGAAAUGCGUAGAGAUCUGGAGGAAUACCGAUGGCGAAGGCAGCCAUCUGGCCUAAUACUGACGCUGAGGUACGAAAGCAUGGGGAGCAAACAGGAUUAGAUACCCGGGUAGUCCCUGUCUCUUAUAC
rnacentral:rRNA from 1 species